AUAUAUCUCAGCAACACUGCAUCUUAGUUUUGUUUCUUAAUUGUGGGAUGGAUGGAAGGGGGGGGGGGGAGCAGAUGAAAGAUUGAUGCUGUAGUCUAUAGACACAAUGGGCAUCCAUGGAUGACAGGGGAAGGAGGUGGUGAAAUCAGACCCGUGGCUGUUGAAGAAGCUAGACCAGUGGCUGUUAUAAGUUGAAGCUUCUAUAUCCCCUGACCUAUGUAUAAUCUCAAACUGUACAGGCACCUCGUUGUCUAAAUUCCUAUCUACCUAUCUACUUAUUAUUAGGGCUGCUUUCUUCUAUAAAUUUUGCAGAAAGCAUAGGCUUAAUAUUUUGGAGCUCAAGUUAAAGAGCGGAAGCCUAGAUGAGACUUAAUAAAUCUUGAUCUUUGCAGUGUCAAUGUUAAAUGAUGAUCAGAGCUCGUAAAGGGUUAUCUGAAUUUGUUCACAAAAGUUCAUCAAUAAGUUAUAUCUACUUGUGUUGUUUUCAUCCUCUACUUGGGAUUUUA